rnacentral:rRNA from 1 species
AUUGAACGCUGGCGGCAGGCCUAACACAUGCAAGUCGAACGAGUGGCGGACGGGUGAGUAAUGUCUGGGAAACUGCCCGAUGGAGGGGGAUAACUACUGGAAACGGUAGCUAAUACCGCAUACCAUCGGAUGUGCCCAGAUGGGAUUAGCUAGUAGGUGGGGUAACGGCUCACCUAGGCGACGAUCCAUAGCUGGUCUGAGAGGAUGACCCGCCAGACUUGAACUGGUACACGGUCCAGACGCCUACGUGAGGCAGCAGUGGGGAAUAUUGCACAAUGGGCGAAAGCCUGAUGCAGCCAGUCCGCGUGUAUGAAGAAGACCUACGGGUUGUAAAGUACUUUCUGCGAGAAGGCGUUACUCGCAGAAGAAGCACCGGCUAACUCCGUGCCAGCAGCCGCGGUAAUUC